UACGUAGGGUGCGAGCGUUGCCCGGAUUUAUUGGGCGUAAAGGGCGCGUAGGCGGCUCGACACGUUCGUUGUGAAAUCGCCCGGCUCAACUGGGCGGGGUCAGCGAAUACGGUCGAGCUUGAGCAAGCUAGGGGGCAAUGGAAUUCCCGGUGUAGUGGUGGAAUGCGUAGAUAUCGGGAGGAACACCAGUGGCGAAGGCGGUUGCCUGGGGCUUUGCUGACGCUGAUGCGCGAAAGCGUGGGGAGCGAGUCCAG
rnacentral:rRNA from 1 species